GCCUUUUUGGUGUAAUGGUCAGCACAUUCGGCGUGUAUUCGAGAGGUCCGUGGUUCGAGUCCCGGCCAAGGCA
rnacentral:tRNA from 1 species